AUUGAACGCUGGCGGCAGGCCUAACACAUGCAAGUCGAACGAGUGGCGGAGGGGUGAGUAAUGUCUGGGAAACUGCCUGAUGGAGGGGGAUAACUACUGGAAACGGUAGCUACUACCGCAUACCAUCAGAUGUGCCCAGAUGGGAUUAGCUUGUUGGGGGGGUAACGGCUCACCAAGGCGACGCUCCCUAGCUGGUCUGAGAGGAUGACCAGCCACACUGGAACUGAGACACGGUCCAGACUCCUACGGGAGGCAGCAGUGGGGAAUAUUGCACAAUGGGCGAAAGCCUGAUGCAGCCAUGCCGCGUGUAUGAAGAAGGCCUUCGGGUUGUAAAGUACUUUUGUCGGGGAGGCGUUACCCACAGAAGAAGCACCGGCUAACUCCGUGCCAGCAGCCGCGGUAAUUC
rnacentral:rRNA from 1 species